rnacentral:misc_RNA from 1 species
AGGUAUGUCUAACUUCUCUUAUUUACAAACAAAAUCAA